UACAGAGGGUGCAAGCGUUAAUCGGAUUUACUGGGCGUAAAGCGCGCGUAGGCGGCUAAUUAAGUCAAAUGUGAAAUCCCCGAGCUUAACUUGGGAAUUGCAUUCGAUACUGGUUAGCUAGAGUGUGGGAGAGGAUGGUAGAAUUCCAGGUGUAGCGGUGAAAUGCGUAGAGAUCUGGAGGAAUACCGAUGGCGAAGGCAGCCAUCUGGCCUAACACUGACGCUGAGGUGCGAAAAGCAUGGGGAGCAAACAGGG
rnacentral:rRNA from 1 species